rnacentral:rRNA from 1 species
UCCGUAGGCGGGCGUCUAAGUCAGUGGUGAAAUCUUACAGCUCAACUGUAAAAUUGCCAUUGAUACUGGAUGUCUUGAAUUAGUGUGAAGUGGUUAGAAUGUGUAGUGUAGCGGUGAAAUGCAUAGAUAUUACACAGAAUACCAAUUGCGAAGGCAGAUCACUAACACUAUAUUGACGCUGAGGGACGAAAGCGUGGGGAGCGAUCCGGAUUAGAUACCCGAGUAGUCC